rnacentral:rRNA from 1 species
GAGGAAGCAAUUCUCUCUGAAUCUGCGAACGGCUCCGCAAACCAGUUGUAAACAAAGGCAAGGGUGCCCCGAACCUUCGGGCGAGGGGCGAUACGGAUAACCCUGGUAAUUCUGAGGCUAAUACGAGAGCGUGAAACCUGGACGACCGGGAAACUGGAAGGCUGGGGGACGUGUGAUCCAAAAAGCAGUAGGGAAAGCCGGGGGAGGAUGCAUGUUCAUACCACCAUAACGAACGGUGCUUGUUGGAACCGAAAGGGAAAGGCGGGCUUCCGGGUGGGUCUUGCAAUGUGCUUCUGACCUAUCAACUAGAUGGCAGCAUAAGGGACAUGCCAUGGUUACAACGGGUACAGAGGAUAAGGGUUCGAUCCUGGAGAGUGGGCCUGAGAGAUUGCUCAUACUUCUAAGGAAGGCAGCAGGCGCGCAACGUUCCCAUUGGGCAAAGCCCGAGGGCGUUAGGGGACAUAUGAAUGCCUGCCAAUAGGUGGGCAAUUCAAAUGGGACUGUUCUAAACAGCCUAUCGAGUAACAAUUAGAGGACAAGUCUGGUGCCAGCACCCGCGGUAAUUCCAGCUCUAAUAGCAUACGUUAAAGUUGUUGCGGUUAAAACGCUCGUAGUCGGCUUAAGAUCUUCAGAACUCCUGGUCGGGAAUCGGGUCUGCUACCCCCAAGGGUGCGCCGAGGUACUGGCUGGUUGGGACGUUGGUCAACCGCAUUCCUGGUCGUCUCCUCCGGGGGUCACAGGGCGUGAAAGGGGGGUCCGCUUCCCAAGAUCGUUCGGCUGGGGUGCCAUUCACUAUGACUAAACUGGGGUGAUCAAAGCAGGUCUUUCGACACGUACAGCGCAGCAUAGGACGGGUUUGUGCCUCCUUUCCGCCUUCGCUGCGGGCGGUUGGGGGGUAAAAGCGAUAGGGGUGUUCGAGGGUGACCGAAUUGCUGGGCGAGUGGUGAAAUACGUUGACCCUAGCAAGUCGACCAAAGGCGAAAGCAGUCAUCAAGGGCACGCCCGUUGAUCAAGAGCGAAAGUUAAGGGUUCGAAGACGAUCAGAUACCGUCGUAGUCUUAACUAUAAAUGAUGCAAACCAGGGAUAGGACACUGUCCAUCUCGACUCCUCCUGGAUCUUAGGGAAAUCAGAGUCUUUGGGUUCUGGGGGGAGUAUGGUCGCAAGGCUGAAACUUAAAGGAAUUGACGGAAGGGCACACAAAGAGUGGAACCUGCGGCUUAAUUUGACUCAACACGGGAAAACUCACCAGGUCCGGAUACACGUAUGAAAGUCAAGCUGAAAGACUUUACUCAAUGAUGUAAGUGGUGGUGCAUGGUCGUUCUUAGUUCGUGGAUUGAUUCGUCUGGUCUAUUCCGAUAACGAGCGAGACCCCGGUGUUCCUAAUAGGGGUGCAAGCCAGGCGGGCCGAAAGGUUUGCCAGCAAGCGCCUGAGAUGUAUGCUUCUUAGACAAAUCAAAGCCGACAAGGUUCUUGAAAUGGGUUAAUAACAGGUCAGUCAUGCCCUUAGAUGUUCUGGGCCGCACGCGCGUUACAAUGGAAGGGAAAGAAAGUGCUCCGAAAAGGCGUUUCCUGGGCCUAACGGUCUGGGUAACCAGUAGUCCUUGCUUUGACUGGGACAGAUCAUUGCAAUUAUUGGUCUCCAACGAGGAAUUUUUAGUAAGCACGGGUC